rnacentral:rRNA from 1 species
UACGUAGGGUGCGAGCGUUGUCCGGAAUUAUUGGGCGUAAAGAGCUCGUAGGCGGUGUGUCGCGUCGGCCGUGAAAACCUGGGGCUCAACUCUGGGCGCGCGGUCGAUACGGGCAUCACUUGAGUUCGGCAGGGGAGACUGGAAUUCCUGGUGUAGCGGUGAAAUGCGCAGAUAUCAGGAGGAACACCGGUGGCGAAGGCGGGUCUCUGGGCAGUAACUGACGCUGAGGAGCGAAAGCGUGGGGAGCGAACAGG